rnacentral:misc_RNA from 1 species
GCUGGAUAUUGUUUUAGCUCAAAAAUUCGGUUUACAUUUACAUGAAGGAGAUACACUAUUGUGUUUUCAAUAUUUAACGCUCAGCUUAAUGGCACCCUACUGGAAAUUUGCAAAGAUGCUUCUAUCUUUUAACCCCAAGAUUGUCAAGGCAUCUUUUUGCUCAAUUUUUUUAGAGUCCUCUCUUUUUUUUAUAUAAUUUUUUUUCUUAAUUUUAUGGCAUUAG